CUACCUAAAUCCUCAAAUCCCUAAAUCCCCAAAUUCUAAAUCCUCAAAUCCCUAAAUUGACCAAACCCAAACCCAAAUCGUCAUCUCGCAGCUCUCUCUCUACAAAUCAAGAACAAAUUUGUGAUUAAGUUGGAUUUACCUUCGAUUUAGUGGGAUUCCCAAACAGAUCGAGCAUACAAGGAAGAUGAGAGAACCUAAGGAAGAUGCGGAGAGAGCAAAGAGGUUGAAAUUUUUCGGAAAUUUCUGUUUUGUGUUUGUCGGAGAUAGCAAAGAGGAGAGAAAGAGGAAACCCUAA
rnacentral:lncRNA from 1 species